AUGUCAGAUCUCCAGAUCCAGCUGGGCAGCUCCUGGAAAAGCCACCCACAGAGUGACCAUCAGAGCUUACUGAGCAACACCAAAAAUAAGGGAAACAGGAGCUAUUCCAUAUUUGGAGAGAACAUAAAGCUUAUGGAAACAGAGAAGUCCUACUCAAUUCUGUCCUUCAACUGGAAAGAAGAGAAUUUGCUGAAAAAGAAGCUAAGUUUUCUAGACUCCAUGAAGAAAUAUGAAGCUAAUGCCUGGCUAAUGGAGCAGAAAGCCUUUUAUAAACGAUGCCACUCAAAGCUCCAAAAGUCAGAACUGGCACAUGCUCGGUUGAUAGGCAACAAGGACUUGGUCAACCGGCUCACCUCCAAGAAUAUGUUGUCCAACUACACCACCACCUUUGUGGAUGAGAGUGAGGCAGCGGUGAAGGCGAUAAUUCAGAACAGAAGAGAGGGGGAGAAGAACAAAAUGCCCUUCAGACUUAGCCUAGACAAGGACAGACUCUACCCAUCCACAGCUUCCAGGGCAACCUUAAAGGUGGACUCCAAGGAUGAAAGUGAGAGGGGAACUGUAAAUAUAAGAGGGUCUCUCUCCAGAGGGGAGGGGAAACCAGCUCUGGUUUUAUCUUUAGAGUCUUUGGAUAAUCCAGAGCAGGUAGAAAAACAGAGAAAGCUCCCUGUUGACAGCAGUCCAUCAGCUGGGGGAGAAGGGAUCGUAAGAGACGUCCCUAGUAGACCAUCGAGCACUGGGCAGAGUCAUCUCCAGGAUCCAGCCAUUGGCAGGAAAUCAAAAGGCAAGUUUCUUAAAUACAUAAUCUAUGGAGACAGGAGUGGAGAGCACCCCAAGAAGAAAUGGUCACAGCCCAGGAAGAACCCACCUGUCCCGGAUGGUGUGCAAAUGGACCAGGCACUGCCGACCCAGGCUCAAGUCAGCCUAAGGCAGGAGUUUCUCACGAGUGAAAGAGCCAAGUAUCUGGAGGCCAGAAUCCCAAGUCUACCACAGACCACAUAUUUUCAAGGUCACUCUUCUAACAGACCCUGGGAGAAAGGAACUGAAGGAGUAGUGCACGCUCCAGGAAUCAGAACACAGGAUGCAGGAAGAGGGCCGAAAAUCAUUCCUGAAGAGAUUGGAAAACGAACUGGAAGCAAGUCCAUUAGCAAGAACAAACGGCUUUUUUCCUAA
rnacentral:lncRNA from 1 species